rnacentral:rRNA from 1 species
AGUGGCGGACGGGUGAGUAACGCGUGAGAAUCUGCUUUGGGGUCGGGGACAACCACUGGAAACGGUGGCUAAUACCGGAUAAGCCGAUUGGUGAAAGAUUUAUUGCCCGAAGAGGAGCUCGCGUCUGAUUAGCUAGUUGGUGAGGUAAGAGCUCACCAAGGCAGCGAUCAGUAGCUGGUCUGAGAGGACGAUCAGCCACACUGGGACUGAGACACGGCCCAGACUCCUACGGGAGGCAGCAGUGGGGAAUUUUCCGCAAUGGGCGAAAGCCUGACGGAGCAAGACCGCGUGAGGGAGGAAGGCUCUUGGGUUGUAAACCUCUUUUCUCAGGGAAGAAGCUCUGACGGUACCUGAGGAAUCAGCCUCGGCUAACUCCGUGCCAGCAGCCGCGGUAAUACGGAGGAGGCAAGCGUUAUCCGGAAUUAUUGGGCGUAAAGCGUCCGCAGGUGGCAAUUCAAGUCUGCUGUCAAAGCACGGGGCUUAACUCCGUUAAGGCAGUGGAAACUGAAUAGCUAGAGUGCCGUAGGGGUAGAGGGAAUUCCCGGUGUAGCGGUGAAAUGCGUAGAGAUCGGGAAGAACAUCGGUGGCGAAAGCGCUCUACUGGACGGCAACUGACACUCAGGGACGAAAGCUAGGGGAGCGAAUGGGAUUAGAUACCCC